GUGGAGAUGGCUCAGUGAUUAAGAGCACUGACUGCCUUUCCAGAGGUCCUGAGUUCAAUUCCCAGCAACCACA
rfam:Rattus norvegicus chromosome 5, whole genome shotgun sequence.